AAGGAGCAUCAACUGGCCGCAGGUCGCGGGGGUGGGCGUUGGUGGUCGGUGGCCGCUGUUGACAGCGAGUGUCUGUCAGGUGGCUGCUCAUAGAUGUGGAGCACUGGCUAUUCGGUGGCACUCGUGUGCGGCCCGGUUAGUACCGCCUUCGGGGAGUGGGAAGUCUGGGUUCGGGUCAUGGUGGUGGUGGACACGCUGUUGGGUCCUGAGGGAACGGACUCUUCUUCGGCCCCUGAAGUACACGGUGUUCGCAUCGUGUGGCGAGGGGGCUGGGGUUGUUUUGAGAACUGCACAGUGGACGCGAGCAUCUCUGGUGAACGGCGAUGCCCUUCGCGAACGGGAGUUCCUGGUUUUCCGGGGGUUCUGGUCGUUGGAUGGGUGUUGUUGUUUGUCUGCGAUUUGUUUUGAUCGUUUUGU
rnacentral:misc_RNA from 1 species